AUUGAACGCUGGCGGCAGGCUUAACACAUGCAAGUCGAGCGAGCGGCGGACGGGUGAGUAAUGUCGGGGAAACUGCCUGAUGGAGGGGGAUAACUACUGGAAACUGUAGCUAAUACCGCAUACCAUCAGAUGUGCCCUGAUGGGAUUAGCUAGUAGGUGGGCGAAUGGCACACCCAGGCGACGAUCACUAGCUGGUCUGAGAGGAUGACCCGCCACACUGGAACUGAGACAGGGUCCAGACUCCUACGUGAGUCAGCAGGGGGGAAUAUUGCGCAAUGGGGGCAAGCCUGAUGCAGCCAUGCCGCGUGUGUGAAGAAGGCCUUCGGGUUGUAAAGCACUUUCAGCAAUGAGGCGUUACUCGCAGAAGAAGCACCGGCUAACUCCGUGCCAGCAGCCGCGGUAAUAC
rnacentral:rRNA from 1 species